rnacentral:tRNA from 1 species
GGAGAUGUGGCUUAGUGGUAAACUGCUUGUCUGGCAUGUAUGUGGCCCUGGGUUCCACUCCCAGCACUGCUA